rnacentral:rRNA from 1 species
GAUGAACGCUGGCGGCGUGCCUAAUACAUGCAAGUCGAGCGAACGGACGAGAAGCUUGCUUUUCUGAUGUUAGCGGCGGACGGGUGAGUAACACGUGGAUAACCUACCUAUAAGACUGGGAUAACUUCGGGAAACCGGAGCUAAUACCGGAUAAUAUUUUGAACCGCAUGGUUCAAAAGUGAAAGACGGUCUUGCUGUCACUUAUAGAUGGAUCCGCGCUGCAUUAGCUAGUUGGUAAGGUAACGGCUUACCAAGGCAACGAUGCAUAGUCGACCUGAGAGGGUGAUCGGCCACACUGGAACUGAGACACGGUCCAGACUCCUACGGGAGGCAGCAGUAGGGAAUCUUCCGCAAAGGGCGAAAGCCUGACGGAGCAACGCCGCGUGAGUGAUGAAGGUCUUCGGAUCGUAAAACUCUGUUAUUAGGGAAGAACAUAUGUGUAAGUAACUGUGCACAUCUUGACGGUACCUAACCAGAAAGCCACGGCUAACUACGUG